AGGGCGUAUGGGGAAUGCCUAGGCACACUCCGGCGAAGAAGGACGCAGCAAACAGCGAAAUGCGACGGUGAGCGGUAAGCACGUGAAGAGCCGUCGAUAUCCGAAUGGGGGAACCCACAUGGAGUCAAGUCCAUGUAUCACAUGUCGAAUACAUAGACAUGAUGAGGCGAGACGCAGGGAACUGAAACAUCUAAGUACCUGCAGGAAGAGAAAAUAAGAAUGAUUUUCUGAGUAGCGGCGAGCGAAAGGGAAAGAGCCCAAACCGAUUUUAGGAUCGGGGUAGUAGGAUCAUCGAAGAAUCUGACAGAGGAUCAUAGAGGAAUCACAUGGGAAGGUGAGCGAGAGAGGGUGAGAGCCCCGUACUCGAAAUGAGAGACUGGAGAGAGAUGACACCUGAGUAGGGCGGGACACGAGAAAUCCUGUCUGAAUCGGCCGGGACCAUCCGGCAAGGCUAAAUACGAGAGAGUGACCGAUAGUGAACCAGUACCGUGAGGGAAAGGUGAAAAGAACCCCGGGAGGGGAGUGAAAGAGAACCUGAAACCUUGUGCUUACAAGCACCGAGAGCCCGUCAAGGGGUGAUCGGGUACCUUUUGUAGAAUGGUCCGGCGAGUGAAUGUAACUGGCAAGGUUAAGCACUUAAGGUGUGAAGCCGUAGCGAGAGCGAGUCUGAAAAGGGCGCAUGAAGUCAGUUGUAUUCGACCCGAAACCGGGUGACCUACCCAUGUCCAGGCUGAAGUGCAGGUAAAACUUCAUGGAGGGCCGAACCGACUCCCGUUGAAAUGGUAGCGGAUGAGGUGUGGGUAGCGGAGAAAUUCCAAUCGAACCCGGAGAUAGCUGGUUCUCUCCGAAAUAGCUUUAGGGCUAGCCUUGGAAUAGAUUACUGGAGGUAAAGCACUGAAUUGGCUAGGGGCCGAGAGGUUACUGAACCUUAUCAAACUAAGAAUGCCAGAUAAUCGUUUUCCAGGAGUCAGACAGUGGGAGAUAAGUUUCAUUGUCAAAAGGGAAACAGCCCAGACCUACAGCUAAGGUCCCAAAGUAUAGUUAAGUGGAAAAGGAUGUGGAAUUGCAUAGACAACCAGGAUGUUGGCUUAGAAGCAGCCACUCAUUAAAAGAGUGCGUAAUAGCUCACUGGUCGAGUGACCCUGCGCCGAAAAUUUAACGGGGCUAAAUCGUACACCGAAGCUUGGGAUGCAGCAAUGCAUGGUAGGAGAGCGUCGUAUAAGGGGUGAAGUCAGAGCGUAAGCGCUGGUGGACUUUAUACGAGUGAGAAUGCCGGAAUGAGUAGCGAGAAAUAUGUGAGAAUCAUAUUGGCCGAAAGUCUAAGGUUUUUGGAGGAAGGUUCGUCCGCUCCAAGUAAGCCGGGAGCUAAGGUGAGGCCGAAAGGCGUAGCCGAUGCACAUACGGUAGAUAUUCCGUAGCCGCCAAAAGAUUUAAGUAAGAGGACACCUUGAAAGGACUUGACCCGGGCGAUGGUUGCCCCGGGCGAAAGGGACCGAAAUUUAGUAGGGAAGCAAGUUUGGACGAGGGCGAGAAAAGUCUUAUGUAUAUCUUCGGCGCCCGUACCGCAAACCGACACAGGUAGAUAGGAAGAGAAUUCUAAGGCCAACGGGAGAAGGGUAGUUAAGGAACUCGGCAAAUUGGUCCCGUAACUUAGGGAAAAGGGACGCCAGGGAAACCUGGUCGCAGUGAAUAGGCCCAGGCGACUGUUUAGCAAAAACACAGGUCUCUGCCAAAUCGAAAGAUGAAGUAUAGGGGCUGACACCUGCCCGGUGCCGGAAGGUUAAGAGGAGGAGUGCAAGCUCCGAAUUGAAGCCCCGGUAAACGGCGGCCGUAACUAUAACGGUCCUAAGGUAGCGAAAUUCCUUGUCGGGUAAGUUCCGACCCGCACGAAUGGCGUAACGACUUGUGAGCUGUCUCAACAGGAGGCCCGGUGAAAUUGAAGUAUGUGUGAAGAUGCACAUUACCCGCGACUGGACGGAAAGACCCCGUAGAGCUUUACUGUAACCUGACAUUGGAUCUUGAUAACGGAUGCACAGGAUAGGUGGGACGCUGGGAGACGAGGACUUUGGUUUUCGUGGAGCGGCCGUUGGGAUACCACUCUUCUGUUAUUGAGAUUCUAACCUCAAGCCGUGAGCCGGAUGAGAGACAGUGUCAGGCGGACAGUUUGACUGGGGCGGUCGCCUCCGAAAGAGUAACGGAGGCGCCCAAAGGUACCCUCAGAAUGGAUGGAAACCAUUCGAAGAGAGCAAAGUCAGAAGGGUGCUUGACUGCGAGACCAACAAGUCGAGCAGGUACGAAAGUAGGGCUUAGUGAUCCGGCGGUAAGAGAGUGGAAUUGCCGUCGCUCAACGGAUAAAAGCUACCUCGGGGAUAACAGGCUGAUCUCCCCCAAGAGUUCACAUCGACGGGGAGGUUUGGCACCUCGAUGUCGGCUCAUCGCAUCCUGGAGCUGAAGUCGGUUCCAAGGGUUGGGCUGUUCGCCCAUUAAAGCGGUACGCGAGCUGGGUUCAGAACGU
rnacentral:rRNA from 1 species